UAUUUUAAAGAGAGUUUGAUCCUGGCUCAGGACGAACGCUGGCGGCGUGCCUAAUACAUGCAAGUCGAACGAACGGAGGAAGAGCUUGCUCUUCCAAAGUUAGUGGCGGACGGGUGAGUAACACGUGGGCAACCUGCCUGUAAGUUGGGGAUAACUCCGGGAAACCGGGGCUAAUACCGAAUGAUAAAGUKUGGCGCAUGCCACGCUUUUGAAAGAUGGUUUCGGCUAUCGCUUACAGAUGGGCCCGCGGUGCAUUAGCUAGUUGGUAGGGUAAUGGCCUACCAAGGCAACGAUGCAUAGCCGACCUGAGAGGGUGAUCGGCCACACUGGGACUGAGACACGGCCCAGACUCCUACGGGAGGCAGCAGUAGGGAAUCUUCCGCAAUGGACGAAAGUCUGACGGAGCAACGCCGCGUGUAUGAAGAAGGUUUUCGGAUCGUAAAGUACUGUUGUUAGAGAAGAACAAGGAUAAGAGUAACUGCUUGUCCCUUGACGGUAUCUAACCAGAAAGCCACGGCUAACUACGUGCCAGCAGCCGCGGUAAUACGUAGGUGGCAAGCGUUGU
rnacentral:rRNA from 1 species